UACGUAGGGUGCGAGCGUUGUCCGGAUUUAUUGGGCGUAAAGAGCUCGUAGGCGGUUUGUCGCGUCGGCCGUGAAAUCUCCACGCUUAACGUGGAGCGUGCGGUCGAUACGGGCAGACUUGAGUUCGGUAGGGGAGACUGGAAUUCCUGGUGUAGCGGUGAAAUGCGCAGAUAUCAGGAGGAACACCGGUGGCGAAGGCGGGUCUCUGGGCCGAUACUGACGCUGAGGAGCGAAAGCGUGGGGAGCGAACCGG
rnacentral:rRNA from 1 species